rnacentral:rRNA from 1 species
GUGGGGAAUAUUGGGCAAUGGGCGAAAGCCUGACCCAGCAACGCCGCGUGAAGGAAGAAGGUCUUCGGAUCGUAAACUUCUAUCCUUGGUGAAGAUAAUGACGGUAGCCGAGAAGGAAGCCCCGGCUAACUACGUGCCAGCAGCCGCGGUAAUACGUAGGGGGCAAGCGUUGUCCGGAAUGAUUGGGCGUAAAGGGCGCGUAGGCGGCCUGGUAAGUCUGGAGUGAAAGUCCUGCUUGUAAGGUGGGAAUUGCUUUGGAUACUGUCGGGCUUGAGUGCAGGAGAGGUAAGUGGAAUUCCCGGUGUAGCGGUGAAAUGCGUAGAGAUCGGGAGGAACACCAGUGGCGAAGGCGACUUACUGGACUGAAACUGACGCUGAGGCUCGAAAGCGUGGGGAGCGAACAGGAUUAGAUACCCGUGUAGUCC